UACGUAGGGGGCGAGCGUUGUCCGGAUUUAUUGGGCGUAAAGAGCUCGUAGGCGGUUCGGCAAGUCAGAUGUAAAAACUCCAGGCUCAACUUGGAGAGGCCAUCUGAUACUGCCGUGACUAGAGUCCGGUAGAGGAGCACGGAAUUCCUGGUGUAGCGGUGAAAUGCGCAGAUAUCAGGAGGAACACCUAUGGCGAAGGCAGCUCGCUGGGACGUUACUGACGCUGAGACGCGAAAGCGUGGGGAGCAAACAGG
rnacentral:rRNA from 1 species